rnacentral:rRNA from 1 species
UCUGGUUGAUUCUGCCAGUAGUCAUAUGCUUGUCUCAAAGAUUAAGCCAUGCAUGUCUAAGUAUAAGCACUUUAUACCGUGAAACUGCGAAUGGCUCAUUAAAUCAGUUAUCGUUUAUUUGAUAGUACCUUACUACAUGGAUACCUGUGGUAAUUCUAGAGCUAAUACAUGCUGAAAACCUCGACUUCGGAAGGGGUGUAUUUAUUAGAUAAAAAACCAAUGCCCUUCGGGGCUCCUUGGUGAAUCAUAAUAACUUAACGAAUCGCAUGGCCUUGCGCCGGCGAUGGUUCAUUCAAAUUUCUGCCCUAUCAACUUUCGAUGGUAGGAUAGUGGCCUACCAUGGUGGCAACGGGUAACGGGGAAUUAGGGUUCGAUUCCGGAGAGGGAGCCUGAGAAACGGCUACCACAUCCAAGGAAGGCAGCAGGCGCGCAAAUUACCCAAUCCCGACACGGGGAGGUAGUGACAAUAAAUACUGAUACGGGGCUCUUUUGGGUCUCGUAAUUGGAAUGAGUACAAUUUAAAUCCCUUAACGAGGAACAAUUGGAGGGCAAGUCUGGUGCCAGCAGCCGCGGUAAUUCCAGCUCCAAUAGCGUAUAUUAAAGUUGUUGCAGUUAAAAGCUCGUAGUUGAACCUUGGGUCUGGCUGGCCGGUCCGCCUCACCGCGAGUACUGGUCCGGCUGGACCUUUCCUUCUGGGGAAUCCCAUGGCCUUCACUGGCUGUGGGGGGAACCAGGACUUUUACUGUGAAAAAUUAGAGUGUUCAAAGCAGGCCUUUGCUCGAAUACAUUAGCAUGGAAUAAUAGAAUAGGACGUGUGGUUCUAUUUUGUUGGUUUCUAGGACCGCCGUAAUGAUUAAUAGGGAUAGUCGGGGGCGUCAGUAUUCAGCUGUCAGAGGUGAAAUUCUUGGAUUUGCUGAAGACUAACUACUGCGAAAGCAUUCGCCAAGGAUGUUUUCAUUAAUCAGGG